UUUAAGACGGAAAGCGGCAGAACAUCAACACGGUUUGCUCGAAGCAGAGGAUCAGCAGGUUGAAUCGAAUCAAAGCUAAGCUGCAGCGGUGCCGGUGCGGGAAUUCAUUAUUAUAGAUAAUUACCCUAUCAUCCUCGUUUCCAUUACAUAGAACUCUGGCGCUUUAGUUUGAGUUAAAUUCUUGUUGUUCUUCGGUUGUUGAUAAGGAAAAAAAAAAAAAAAGAAGAAGAAAAGGAAGCAAUUUAUUGAAAUUAGAUGAGAUAGGAAUUCCUCAUGGAAGAGAACAACACAUGGGUUGCAAGAUACUAAUCACCACAAGACAGAAGGAUAUAUGCGAUGCUAUGGGCAGUAUGGAGGACCGAUCAACCCAAAUCUUUAACCUUCGUGUCUUGACAGAAGAAGAAAGUUGGGAUUUGUUUAAACGGAGCGCAGGUUCGUAUGUGGAGUCUCCAAUAUUUAAAGAUGUGGCAUAUAAAGUUGCUAAAGAGUGUGGAGGUCUACCUCUAGCAUUGAUCAUAGUGGGAAGAGCACUGAAAGGUAAACAGGACAUAAAAAUAUGGGAAGAGGCAGCUAAUGAAUUGAACAAGUCUAGACCUAUCCAUGUGAGAGAUGUUCAGAAGAAGGUGUUGGGAUGUCUAGAGUGGAGUUAUAAUCACCUACCCAACGAGGAAACGAAGCAGUUAUUCUUGUUGUGUUGUUUGUUCCCUGAAGAUCAUAAUAUCAGUGUAAGAAAUGUUGGUGGAGUAUGGAGUAGGUGAGGGAGUAUUUUCAGAUGUGGACGACACAUUGGAAGAAGCAAGGCGCAGAGUACACUUAAAAGAUCGUUGCCUAUUGCUAGCUGCAAAGGAAAGCUAUUUUUCAUUCAAGAAAGAAUACAUGGUGGACAUGUUAGAAUGCAUGAUGUGGUUCGUGAUAUGGGCAUUGAUAUUACAUCAUCGUCUGGGUUAAAAGUCCAUCCUAGCUAAUAAAAUAGAUAACGAUGACUUAAUUAGUUCUAUCAAAUGACCAUCGCCAACCAUUUCCCCUUAUUCUAUUUAAAAGGGAAAGCUUGCCUUAAUAUGUUAAAGGAGCCAAAAGCAACUUGUUAAGCUUUUUAUUCAUCAGUCCUCUCACAAGAUUGUGUUCAUACUGUUCUCACAGUCAUUUAUAAUCACACAUUGAGAAUAUUUCUUCAAAACAUAUAGAUACCGAGAUAUUUUCAAUACACAGAUGCAAGUGGCUGUGAGUGAGGACGAUGUAAGAACAGUUAUACGAAGACAGAAUCCAAUCUCUUUAAGUUUAGACCCAUACCAGAUCUUCACUUCAGCCGAUCGAGAUGGCCUGUACUUGCUUCUUUGUACUAAGGUAUACACUAGCCAAUGAAAUUUACCAAAAUCACGGGGUAUGGUUUCGAUGGUUAAAAGCUCAAAUGCAUUCAAUUGGGGGAUUUAAUUAGCUAUCUAUGUUGGACAGCCCGAGGUGUCAACAGUGUUGGAAAGCCCUGUUCACAGCCUAGCCUGUCAAAUUUCUUGAAAAUUCUAGAAUUAUUAUAUCAAUCGAUACGACCUCUCAGAAAGUAUGUGCACUGGAGAUGCAAUCCAAUCCAUCAAGAGAGCAUAGGAGAUGGGGUUAUAUGAGAACAACAGGUAAGGAAGAACUAAGAACACUGAACUUGUGUAUAAGAGAGCUAGAACGAGGGUGGAGAAUGGAUGAGGAGUUCAGGACGAUAACUCGGCACCGGCAGGUGAUGAGAAUGGCUUAAUGAGAUGGAGGAGAAGCAUAACACAAAAAAUGGCAAGCCGAGUUGGAGAAUCAGCUUAUUACUUCAGACUUGUUUCCAGAUGGAUGCACAACUGAACACAUCCGGCAUUUUCUGCAGGUCUUUAAAUUAUUGAAACCAUCUCUAUGACUCUACGUUCUUUCACAAAGAAAGAAUUGGAGUCACCAUCGCCAUUGUUCUACCGUUAUUAUGUCUUUGAAGAUGAAAAUGUAUUUAGCAACCGAUUAGAGCAACUGCUAAAAGGCUGGCAAGCAGACCCUGAACUUAUGAAUAUAUUAUCAUCAGAUCACGAUCAUGAUGACAACUUGAAGAAGAAGAAGAAGAAGUAGAAGAUGAUAGCAAAACCGCUGGCGAGCUGAAGUGAAGCACCAAUUGUUUGAUAUUUCUUUAAAGAGGUCAAUGAUAAAGUGCACUAAGGAAACACUUAAUGCAAGCCUUGCAUCCUCAUUGGCAUCGUACAAUGUUCGAGGAAUUUGAUGCAGUGAUGUGCAAUGGUGGUAAGUUGCAAGUGUCUUUACAUGGUGAAACAACAAGCUGAUACUUCUGUGGAGCGCUAUAAAGUGAGAUUAGUGGCCUGAGGUUUCUCUUAACAGCCCAGUGUGUUGAUUUAUUUGACACAUUCAUUCCCAUGAUUCAUCAGACUAUACGAUGUGUGCUUUCACUUUCCAUUCACUUUGGAUGGUGUAUGUGGCAGCUUGACAUAAAUAAUGUAUUCCCCCAUGGGCCCUUGCACGAGGAAGUCUACAUGUUGCAACCACAAGUCAUUGUAUGACUUAAAACAGGCUCCCGGAGUGUAGUUUUAGUGCUUAGCCACCCAUCUCCUCUUACUUGGCCUCCUCAAAGGGUCAAAUUCUGACCCAUCUCUAUUCAUCUACAGAUGGGUCUCAAAGAUCAUGUUUUUAUUCAUAUAUGUUGACGAUAUACUUCUCAUGGGUAAUGAUCCUCAAACAGUGGGCUCCCUUAUUCAGCAACUACACUUUGAAUUCGCCUUGAAAGCUUGAGUGAAUGAUGUUUUUUCCUUGGCAUGGAACUUAGUUGU